CCUCUCUAGGACUUGGAAAGGUUAGUUUCAGUGUAAGGCUUUCGUUGAGAACUACGACACUUCAUGUCUAAGCCAGUGCCUCUACGGUAUCAUCUACCACUAUGUUUCUCAUAAUCGGUGUUAGGUUUACCAAGAAGAGAGUGUGCAGCAAAAACGGAUCAUUUCCAUUUAGCAAUGUAACCCAGACUACCAUACUGGAACGUGUAUGCUACUGUCAUAUUUGUAGGGAAGGCCAAUAUGUGUUUUACGAUUUAUAUGAUAUUUUUAGUCAUGUUCAAAGAAUCUAUCAUUUUAUUUUCUUUCGUUGCGCAACACACUUUCAUACAAGGUGAUUUGAAGUUAGCUAGGUAAUGCAAUUGGAGUGGUAGGUUAACUUGAAUGAAUGUAAAUGUGCUACACUGGCAUGUUAAUGUGAAUGUGAAAUACUUUCGGCAAUUCAUGCAAUUCGGUUUCAGCUAUAA